CCUACGGGAGGCAGCAGUAGGGAAUUUUGCGCAAUGGGGGAAACCCUGACGCAGCAACGCCGCGUGAACGAUGAAGCCCUUAGGGGUGUAAAGAUCUGUCAGUGGGGACGAAACCUGACGGUACCCACAGAGGAAGCACCGGCUAACUCUGUGACAGCAGCCGCGGUAAUAAGGGGGGUGCGAGCGUUAUCCGGAGUCAUGGGGCGUAAAGAGUUCGUAGGUGGCAUGUUAAGUCUGGUGUUAAAGGUGGAAGCUCAACCUCCGUAGUGCAAUGGAUACUGGCGAGCUUGAAUGCGGUAGAGGGAAACGGAAUUCCUGGUGUAGCGGUGAAAUGCGUAGAUAUCAGGAGGAACAUCGGUGGCGUAGGCGCUCUACUGGGCCGUCAUUGACACUGAGGAACGAAAGCCGGGGUAGCAAAUGGGAUUAGAUACCCUUGUAGUC
rnacentral:rRNA from 1 species